rnacentral:rRNA from 1 species
CCUACGGGAGGCAGCAGUGGGGAAUCUUCCGCAAUGGGCGAAAGCCUGACGGAGCAACGCCGCGUGAUCGAAUGAAGGCCUUCGGGUUGUAAAGAUCUGUUGACAGGGACGAAUAAGCCAUGCGAAUAGUUUGGUGUAUGACGGUACCUGUUUAGAAAGCUCCGGCUAACUACGUGCCAGCAGCCGCGGUAAUACGUAGGGAGCAAGCGUUGUCCGGAAUUACUGGGCGUAAAGGGCGCGUAGGUGGGUGCUUAAGUCAGUUGUGAACACCCUGGGCGCAACCUGGGGACUGCACUUGAAACGGGGUAUCUUGAGGGCAGGAGAGGAAAGUGGAAUUCCUGGUGUAGCGGUGAAAUGCGUAGAUAUUAGGAGGAACACCAGUGGCGAAGGCGACUUUCUGGACUGUACCUGACGCUGAGGCGCGAAAGCGUGGGUAGCGAACGGGAUUAGAUACCCCUGUAGUC